GACGAACGCUGGCGGCGUGCUUAACACAUGCAAGUCGAACGGAAAGGCCCUGCUUUUGUGGGGUGCUCGAGUGGCGAACGGGUGAGUAACACGUGAGUAACCUGCCCUUGACUUUGGGAUAACUUCAGGAAACUGGGGCUAAUACCGGAUAGGAGCUCCUGCUGCAUGGUGGGGGUUGGAAAGUUUCGGCGGUUGGGGAUGGACUCGCGGCUUAUGAGCUUGCUGGUGGGGUAGUGGCUUACCAAGGCUUUGACGGGUAGCCGGCCUGAGAGGGUGACCGGGCACAUUGGGACUGAGAUACGGAGCAGACUCCUACGGGAGGCAGCAGUGGGGAAUAUUGCACAAUGGGAGGAAGCCUGAUGCAGCGACGCCGCGUGCGGGAUGACGGCCUUCGGGUUGUAAACCGCAUUAGCCUGUGACGAAGCGUGAGUGACGGUAAUGGGUAAAGAAGCACCGGCUAACUACGUG
rnacentral:rRNA from 1 species